UACGAAGGGGGCUAGCGUUGUUCGGAAUUACUGGGCGUAAAGCGCACGUAGGCGGCUUUGUAAGUUAGAGGUGAAAGCCCAGGGCUUAACCCUGGAAUUGCCUUUAAGACUGCAUCGCUUGAAUCCAGGAGAGGUGAGUGGAAUUCCGAGUGUAGAGGUGAAAUUCGUAGAUAUUCGGAAGAACACCAGUGGCGAAGGCGGCUCACUGGACUGGUAUUGACGCUGAUGUGCGAAAGCAGUGGGGAGCAAACAGG
rnacentral:rRNA from 1 species